GGAAAUUGGUGGAAGACAGGAAUCCCUUUUAGUAUGAGUCAGCAAGAAUAGAAGGUCUUUUUUCUGACUCCCCGGGGCCCGCCAUGCUGACACUUUGCAUUCGCCUCCUGUUCAGAGUGCAGCUGUGGGCUCCAGGCAUCCUUGCCAGUGUGGAAGUGUCUGCUUCCUAACGAAGGACUUGAGUUAGCGAGUAAGGAAGUAGCAUUGUAAACCAUGGAAAUCAUGUCCAUUGUCCUCGAAUUCCGUGAGUCACUGGAGUGAAGCUGGACACACGGGCAUUAACAACGUUGCCAUAAUCAUGGAAGUUCAGAAAUCCUGCACAGGGUGGGUGUGGGGUACAGGGAGGGCCUGAGCCACUGAUCCCACCAAAGGAAAACAGCAGGAACAAAGAAAUCUGAUUCCUCCACUGCUCUCAGCACCUGCACUGUCCUCUUGUCUACCGAUCUCGACCUCUGUGUGUGUGCUCAUCUGGGUAUUUUAAAAUACAGAU
rnacentral:lncRNA from 1 species